rnacentral:misc_RNA from 1 species
UCCGGUUUGUCACCGGCAGUCUCAGUAAAGUGCCCACCAUUACAUGCUGGCAAUUACCGACAAGGGUUGCGCUCGUUGCGGGACUUAACCCAACAUCUCACGACACGAGCUGACGACAGCCAUGCAGCACCUGUGUAACAGUUCCCUUUCAGGCACUUCCACAUCUCUGCAGAAUUCUGUCCAUGUCAAGGGUAGGUAAGGUUUUUCGCGUUGCAUCGAAUUAAUCCACAUCAUCCACCGCUUGUGCGAGUCCCCGUCAAUUCCUUUGAGUUUUAAUCUUGCGACCGUACUCCCCAGGCGGUCAACUUCGCGCGUUAGCUACGUUACCAAGAAAAUUAAUCCCCGACAACUAGUUGACAUCGUUUAGGGCGUGGACUAC